rnacentral:tRNA from 1 species
UAGCUCAGUUGGUUAGAGAGUGGUGCUAAUAACACCAGGGUCGCGGGUUUGAUCCCCGU